rnacentral:rRNA from 1 species
UACGGAGGGCGCAAGCGUUGCUCGGAAUUACUGGGCGUAAAGCGCGUGUAGGCGGUCGCGUGUGUCUGGCGUGAAAGCCCCGGGCUCAACGCGGGAAGUGCGUUGGAAACUGCGAGACUAGAGUUCCGGAGAGGAAGGUGGAAUUCCAGGUGUAGCGGUGAAAUGCGUAGAUAUCGGGAAGAACACCGGUGGCGAAGGCGGCCUGCUGGACGGUGACUGACGCUGAGACGCGAAAGCGUGGGGAGCAAACAGG